AACUUCUGAAUGUUGACCUCGAAUCAGGUAGGAAUACCCGCUGAACUUAAGCAUAUCAAUAAGCGGAGGAAAAGAAACCAACAGGGAUUGCCCCAGUAACGGCGAGUGAAGCGGCAACAGCUCAAAUUUGAAAUCUGGCUCUCGGGCCCGAGUUGUAAUUUGUAGAGGAUGCUUUUGGUGAGGUGCCUUCCGAGUUCCCUGGAACGGGACGCCAUAGAGGGUGAGAGCCCCGUCUGGUUGGACACCGAUCCUCUGUAAAGCUCCUUCGACGAGUCGAGUAGUUUGGGAAUGCUGCUCUAAAUGGGAGGUAUAUGUCUUCUAAAGCUAAAUACCGGCCAGAGACCGAUAGCGCACAAGUAGAGUGAUCGAAAGAUGAAAAGAACUUUGAAAAGAGAGUUAAAAAGUACGUGAAAUUGUUGAAAGGGAAGCGCUUGUGACCAGACUUGGGCUUGGUUGAUCAUCCAGGGUUCUCCCUGGUGCACUCUUCCGGCCCAGGCCAGCAUCAGUUCGCCCUGGGGGAAAAAGGCUUCGGGAAUGUGGCUCUCUCCGGGGAGUGUUA
rnacentral:rRNA from 1 species